CCUACGGGUGGCAGCAGUGGGGAAUUUUGCGCAAUGCUGGUAACAGUGACGCAGCAACGCCGCGUGAAUGAUGAAGGUUUUCGGAUUGUAAAGUCCUUUUGUUAGAGAAGAUUAUGCCGGUAUGUAACGGAUAAUGACCUGCUAACACCGUGCCAGCCGCCGCGGUAAUACGAAGGGUGCAAGCGUUACUCGGAAUAGCUGGGCGUAAAGUGUGCGGAGGCUGGGUAAUAAGUCGCAUGUGAAAGCCGGGAGCUUAACUACAGAACUGCAUUUGAAACUGUGACUCUGGAGUGUUGGAGAGGUAGGUGGAAUUCUUGGUGUAGGGGUAAAAUGCGUAGAGAUCAAGAGGAAUACUCAUGGCGAAGGCGACCUGCUGGACCAUUACUGACGCUGAUGCACGAAGGCGUGGGGAGCAAACAGGAUUAGAUACCCUGGUAGUC
rnacentral:rRNA from 1 species